rnacentral:lncRNA from 1 species
UCAAUGGCAUUUAUCAAGGGGAUCUUUCAGCCUCAUCCCAAGUGCCGGUGCCCACUUAAAAAUUUAAACUGCACUUUAGACACAGAGGGCUGUGGGUGGCAUCAGCUGGCAUAGACCAGACGAUGCCUGCACUGUCUGCUCACCACAACCAUGGAAUACACAUCAUCAACACGCACUAACACUGUAUUGGAGCAGGCGGAGGGAGACUAGGGGGUCUUAGCACACCUCUGUUGUCACCGGGCCUCCCGGAGCUGGAGGCUAGCGUGCAGCGUGCAACGAGCGAACCCCCCCCCCCCCAUACACACACACACACACACACCUUAAUCAACAUUGUUUUGUUUAACUGUGUGGGGCAAAAUGCCAAGAACGUGAAGAAAAAAAUCAGUUUAAUCAAAUUAAAAUAAAAAAUAGACACAAAGUUGUGUCUGGUUCUAGCAUUUCAUAUUUCCUAGUUCCUACUGCAUGAGUUCAGAUGCAUUAAUUCAUGCACUCAAAUAUUAGUGUUCUGAUUUAAUUGAAACACUUGUUCUGUAAUAGUUUCUUUACUAUUGUGAUCAAAAAUAUUUAAUCUCAAUUCUGAGGCUGCUCUGUAAAUAGUUUUCAAAUAAACAAUACACAUAUCAACUUCUGAUCAUUCCAUAUCAAUUUCAGACUUAAAAUAAUAUAUUGAUGUAAACCACACCCACUUCUGGUUAAACCACGCCCACUUCCGGUUAUGCCACGCCCAUUCCGAGUACAGAUACAGAUAAUUUAGUUGGUUGAACAGAUACAGAUACAGAUACAGAUAGUGGUGUACUCGCUCAUCCCUACUUGACACCCUGAAACCACGACCCUUUUUGGGCAUUUUUAGGUUCUCUUUUUAACACGGGAAACAUUUUUUUUACCUUGCUGGCCGGUACUCCGGCGGUGUUCUUCGGAGCUCGCCUCUAAUGGCGGUGUCACUUCCUUCUCCAUUAUACCGUUAUAUUUUGAGUUGAUUGGAGGACACGCAAAGUGCCCUGCUGGCAAUGGCUAACAUAUUUUGUCUUUAGCCAAUCAUAGUAAUUCAAAUUACGUUUACCAUGUGCGCCUGGAAAACAACAACCGGCUCAAGCUUCAUUCGU